rnacentral:lncRNA from 1 species
UGUUUCCACUGAAGAAACAGAAGAUGAAUUUCAGCUGUAGGCUAGGAAGAUGUAACAGACACUCCUCCAAAAUGUGCUAACAAGCCUCUUAAACAUGGUCUGGAAGAUACGUGAUUGCAUUCUCUUCAAAUGCUAAGCAAGGAGAAACACUGAAAUUACAGUCAGCAAGACCUGAAAGGCAUCAAUAUGAAUUUCCAGUGAUGAGAUGUGUACCUCUCUGACAGGAAAAGGUGCUGGAAAAGUUAUCAGAGCAGCCAAGACCUCUGUACUCCUGCCUGUAGAGAAAGGAAAUAGCACUGUGAUAGGCUUUGCAGAAAAUAAAGCACACUGCUAACUCCCAGGAUAAUGUUUUCUGAUGAAUUGAUAAGGAUAGGAAUAGCAAGCUCACCAAACUACAUUAACAACCAUAUCAAAGGCUUUUAUUUUACAUUGUGAUCUUCAUUGUGAUAUAGCAACAAAUAUGCGUAUCAAUAAAUAAAAGAUGUCCUCUGGACUGCUGAACACUUCAAAGUACUUUUCUGAAAGUUUUCUUCCCUGCUUUCAGAAAUGAAAGUAUUUUCCAUUGUGCUGGCUAUCUGAACACAUAUUUUAUGCACAGUAUACUGAUCUUAGUGCUUUCCUCACUGCAAGCUAUUUCCCUUCACAGGUGAUUAGAGGAUUUCUCAGUAUAACCCUUUCUGAUCUGAACAGUGAGCUAAAACAUUGUAGAAGUUGCAGCUGUCAGAUGAUGGAAUUAAUGGUUUUCGUAAAUCAUUACUUAGAACUCUGAACAGUGACAGGGAGAGUGAAAUGGAAAACAGAAGAGAAUGGUAGAGAGGCAUGGGAAAGGAAGAAAUAGAGAAGUAACCAUGAAAAGCAAUGAAGACACAGAUAGAACAAAAGCCAUUAAAAACGGAAGGAAAAAAGUGGCCUCCAUUUUCAAGAGGCACUUUGCUCUCCAGAAGACUUAACCUUUCAAAGAGCUCUGACGUCUUUGCCUGUGAAGGAGCUAAUAACUUGUUUGCCAAAAUGAUGUGAAUAUUUACAGACAUACUUGAAAUCAGACAAAGGUUACACAAUGAAAUAAACAGAGACUGUUACUGUCA